rnacentral:rRNA from 1 species
AUACAUGCAAGUCGAGCGAGCAAUUUUAACGGAAUACUUCGGUAGGAAGUCAAAAGCGCGAGCGGCGGAUGGGUGAGUAACACGUGGGCAACCUGCCCUUUAGCUUGGGAUACCACUUGGAAACAGGUGCUAAUACCAAAUAAGCAGCAAGAGCGCAUGCUCAAGCUGAGAAAGGCGGCUUUCGAGCUGUCACUAAAGGAUGGGCCCGCGGUGCAUUAGCUAGUUGGUAAGGUAACGGCCUACCAAGGCGAUGAUGCAUAGCCGAGUUGAGAGACUGACCGGCCACAUUGGGACUGAGACACGGCCCAAACUCCUACGGGAGGCAGCAGUAGGGAAUCUUCCACAAUGGACGCAAGUCUGAUGGAGCAACGCCGCGUGAGUGAAGAAGGUUUUCGGAUCGUAAAGCUCUGUUGUUGGUGAAGAAGGACAAGGAUAGUAACUGAUUCUUGUUUGACGGUAAUCAACCAGAAAGUCACGGCUAACUACGUG